rnacentral:rRNA from 1 species
ACACUGACGUCGCGACGCAUAUCAAUAAGCGGAGGAAAAGAAACUAACAAGGAUUCCCCUAGUAACGGCGAGUGAAGCGGGAAGAGCUCAAAUUUGAAAUCUUAAAGGGUUUCCCUUUACGAAUUGUAGUUUAAAGAAGUGUUUUCUGUUGAGGUUUUGGUAAAAGUUCUUUGGAAUAGGACAUCAUAGAGGGUGAGAAUCCCGUAUUUGACCUUUACUUUCAACUUUGUGAUACACUUUCAAAGAGUCGGAUUGAUUGGGAAUGCAAUCCAAAAUGGGUGGUAAAUUUCAUCUAAAGCUAAAUAUUGGCGAGAGACCGAUAGCGAACAAGUACCGUGAGGGAAAGAUGAAAAGAACUUUGAAAAGAGAGUUAAACAGUACGUGAAAUUGUCAAAAGGGAAGCGUUUGACACCAGUGUUGUUUUUCUGAAAAUCAAUUAAAGAACUGUUUAUGCUAAGUUGUUUAGACUUUAUCAGCUAACUGUUUAGUUUUGAGCUUUUCUUUAAUGCACUUUUCAGUUAACAAGUCAACAUCAAUUUCUUUUGCUGUAAAAAAGCUUGAGGAAGGUGGCUUGAGAUUCGUCUUAAGUGUUUAUAGCCUCUUGACUUCUGCAGUCGGAGAGAUUGAGGUCUGCAGCGUAGAUCCUUCGGGGUUAAAUAGCAUUUGUGCUAAGUUAUAGCAUUUUUAUAGACAACUUGUUGACUAUGAUUAGUCAUGUAGCUUACUCGCUUAUGCUAUUUUACCUACGCUUAGGAUGUUGAUGUGAUACUGCGAGCA